rnacentral:rRNA from 1 species
CAUGUAGGCGGAUUGAUAAGUUUGAAGUGAAAUCCUAUAGCUUAACUAUAGAACUGCUUUGAAAACUGUUAAUCUAGAAUGUGGGAGAGGUAGAUGGAAUUUCUGGUGUAGGGUAAAAUCCGUAGAGAUCAGAAGGAAUACCGAUUGCGAAGGCGAUCUACUGGAACAUUAUUGACGCUGAGAUGCGAAAGUGUGGUAGCAAACA